rnacentral:rRNA from 1 species
AUUGAACGCUGGCGGCAUGCCUUACACAUGCCAGUCGAACGGCAGCACGGGUGCUUGCCCCUGGUGGCGAGUGGCGAACGGGUGAGUAAUACAUCGGAACAUGUCCUGUAGUGGGGGAUAGCCCGGCGAAAGCCGGAUUAAUACCGCAUACGAUCUACGGAUGAAAGCGGGGGACCUUCGGGCCUCGCGCUAUAGGGUUGGCCGAUGGCUGAUUAGCUAGUUGGUGGGGUAAAGGCCUACCAAGGCGACGAUCAGUAGCUGGUCUGAGAGGACGACCAGCCACACUGGGACUGAGACACGGCCCAGACUCCUACGGGAGGCAGCAGUGGGGAAUUUUGGACAAUGGGCGAAAGCCUGAUCCAGCAAUGCCGCGUGUGUGAAGAAGGCCUUCGGGUUGUAAAGCUCUUUUGUCCGGAAAGAAAUCCUUGGCCCUAAUACGGUCGGGGGAUGACGGUACCGGAAGAAUAAGCACCGGCUAACUACGUG